rnacentral:rRNA from 1 species
UGGGGAAUAUUGCACAAUGGGCGCAAGCCUGAUGCAGCCAUGCCGCGUGUGUGAAGAAGGCCUUCGGGUUGUAAAGCACUUUCUAGCGAGGAGGAAGGUGGUGAGCUUAAUACGCUCAUCAAUUGACGUUACUCGCAGAAGAAGCACCGGCUAACUCCGUGCCAGCAGCCGCGGUAAUACGGAGGGUGCAAGCGUUAAUCGGAAUUACUGGGCGUAAAGCGCACGCAGGCGGUUUGUUAAGUCAGAUGUGAAAUCCCCCGGGCUCAACCUGGGAACUGCAUUUGAAACUGGCAAGCUAGAGUCUCGUAGAGGGGGGUAGAAUUCCAGGUGUAGCGGUGAAAUGCGUAGAGAUCUGGAGGAAUACCGGUGGCGAAGGCGGCCCCCUGGACGAAGACUGACGCUCAGGUGCGAAAGCGUGGGCAGCAAACAGGAUUAGAUACCCCUGGUAGUCCAGCGCUGUAAACGAUGUCGAUUUUGGAGGUUGUGCCCUUGAGGCGUGGCUUCCGGAGCUAACGCGUUAAAGUCGACCG